CACAACAACUGGCCAAAGGUUAAUUUGCCCAGCAGUGGUGUGUGGCAAAUCUGACAUCUAGUGGCCACAAUAAAAAUUGCAUCCCAUUUUUGUGAAAAUGCCAAAGUGCUUUGUGCAGUGGGUAUAGAGGCUCAGAGACAGGAGGAUUUUCAACAGCUUGGCCAUCUAUCUACUGCUGUCAUCAGUGGUCCUGAUUUUUGGAAGUUGCCUAUUUCAUUGACACUCUGUUGGCAAUGCGCCUUCCAUUUUCAUUCUUUGGAAGAAGAUGGUCAAAGUUGGGGUUUUUCAGAAGUCUCUAUAAUACACAAUGAUUUCUUUGAUGUGUUUCCUGCAUCCAGUGCUUGUAUGGCAUGCUGUAAUACCAGAUCUCUUGCAUCCAGUCUCCAUACGUCAAUACAAUUAAGAGAUUCCAUUCAUCAUACUGACCCAGAUGAGAGGGUUUUCAGCCUAAAGACUGGACAGCAACCCCCCAAGCGUUAUUCCUCUCCAUUAACCUCUACAGAUGACUUCAACAUCCUGAAUACUUGAGUAUCAGGAUAUGCUGCAUUCAUGAGUGUUGUUCUUGAUGUACUUCAUGGAAAAAUAUUCAAUUACACAGUAAAUAAAUUCUUUGUGUUGUGAGUCUGUGUUAAUAUG
ensembl:lncRNA